AGCUUUCACUGUCUCCUCUCGUCUGUCGUUAACAUGAUUUCAUUAUCUCAAGCAGAUCACCAUGAAAUCACCAUAGCUUAAGCUCUCUUCCUCUCUGUCGCGUCUCCUCUCGUCUCUCUCUCUCCGCCGCGUCUCCGCCUCUCUCUCUCUCUCACCGCAUCUCCUCUCCGCCUCUCUCUCUCACCGCGUAUCCUCUCCACGUCUCUCUCUCUCACAGCGUCUCCUCUCCACGUCUCUCUCUCUUCGCCGCAUCUCUUAUCCGUCUCUCUCUCUCCGCCGGGUCUCGUCUCCGUCUCUCUCUCUCCGCCGCGUCUCCUCUCCGUCUCUCUCUCACCGCGUCUCCUCUUCGCGUCUCUUUCUCGCACCGCAGCUCACUCUCCUCCUCUCUCUCUCAAGUGGUCAUAUUCAGAUACAACUUCCAUUUUCAAUGACCUCUGUCCCUGGAACUGAUGAAGUACAGUUUGUGAGACUUAUCUUCUUAUAUGAGAAUCAACUUUUGGUUUGGUGAAGUAGAGGAUACUGUUUGGUGAAGUAAAAGCUUGCUGUGAUGUUUGGUGUAGUAGAAGCUUGCUGUUUUUUUAAACUUUAUAUCACAUUAUGUUACGUGGGUUUUCAUUUUUUAGAUUUAAAUAUCUUGAAACUUUAUAUCACAUUAUGUUAAUAUGUGGAUUCUCAUCUUCUAGAAUUAAAUAUUUUGAAACUUUAUUACA